AGAUUGCACUCUAAAAUCCAUUGUAGGUGAAAUUGACAAAAAAGUGGUCGAAUUGGGAUCAAUUGGAGAUUUCUCAAGAUGCAUUUGGAAACGAGCAGAAGAAACAAUGAAAUAAAGGAAUAUCCCCAAAAAAAGAAAAGAAAAACAAACUCAAGAAAGCUAUAUAUACAAAAAAAAAAGAAGAAGAAAAAAAGAAAAAAAUGCAAUAUCUACAAGAGAUAAGAAAAAGAAAAAAGCAAUAUCCACUCGCUAACUGGAGUUGUUGUUCUGGAUACAGAGACAAUGGAGUGCUUGGAAAA